ACCAGACUCCUACGGGAGGCAGCAGUGAGGAAUAUUGGUCAAUGGGCUUACGCCUGAACCAGCCAAGUCGCGUGAGGGAAGACUGCCCUAUGGGUUGUAAACCUCUUUUGUCAGGGAGCAACGCCGGCUACGUGUAGCCGGACUGAGAGUACCUGAAGAAAAAGCAUCGGCUAACUCCGUGCCAGCAGCCGCGGUAAUACGUAGGGGGCAAGCGUUAUCCGGAUUUACUGGGUGUAAAGGGAGCGUAGACGGCGACGCAAGUCUGGAGUGAAAGCCCGGGGCCCAACCCCGGGACUGCUCUGGAAACUGCGUCGCUGGAGUACGGGAGGGGCAGGCGGAAUUCCUGGUGUAGCGGUGAAAUGCGUAGAUAUCAGGAGGAACACCGGCGGCGAAGGCGGCCUGCUGGACCGUGACUGACGUUGAGGCUCGAGAGCGUGGGGAGCAAACAGGAUUAGAUACCCUAGUA
rnacentral:rRNA from 1 species